UUCCGGUUGAUCCUGCCGGAGGCCAUUGCUAUCGGAGUCCGAUUUAGCCAUGCUAGUUGCACGGGUUCAGACCCGUAGCAGAUAGCUCAGUAACACGUGGCCAAACUACCCUGUGGACUGGAAUAACCUCGGGAAACUGAGGCUAAUUCCCGAUACAGCUCGCAUGCUGGAGUGCAGCGAGCCGGAAACGCUCCGGCGCCACAGGAUGUGGCUGCGGCCGAUUAGGUAGACGGUGGGGUAACGGCCCACCGUGCCGAUAAUCGGUACGGGUUGUGAGAGCAAGAGCCUGGAGACGGUAUCUGAGACAAGAUACCGGGCCCUACGGGGCGCAGCAGGCGCGAAACCUUUACACUGCACGACAGUGCGAUAGGGGGACUCCGAGUGCGAGGGCAUACAGUCCUCGCUUUUCUGUACCGUAAGGUGGUACAGGAACAAGUGCUGGGCAAGACCGGUGCCAGCCGCCGCGGUAAUACCGGCAGCACGAGUGAUGGCCGAUAUUAUUGGGCCUAAAGCGUCCGUAGCCGGCCGGACAAGUCCGUUGGGAAAUCCACGCGCUCAACGCGUGGGCGUCCAGCGGAAACUGUCCGGCUUGGGGCCGGAGGACUCGAGGGGUACGUCCGGGGUAGGAGUGAAAUCCUGUAAUCCUGGACGGACCACCGGUGGCGAAAGCGCCUCGAGAAGACGGACCCGACGGUGAGGGACGAAAGCUAGGGUCUCGAACCGGAUUAGAUACCCGGGUAGUCCUAGCUGUAAACGAUGCCCGCUAGGUGUGGCGCAGGCUACGAGCCUGCGCUGUGCCGUAGGGAAGCCGAGAAGCGGGCCGCCUGGGAAGUACGUCUGCAAGGAUGAAACUUAAAGGAAUUGGCGGGGGAGCACUACAACCGGAGGAGCCUGCGGUUUAAUUGGAUUCAACGCCGGA
rnacentral:rRNA from 1 species